UUCAAAAUUCUAUUUUCAGAGGUUGAUACAAUUGGCUUGGGAUAUUUUCGCAGGAAUAGAUGCAUGAAAAUGAGAUGGCGAGCUCCUACGAAUACCUAAUAAAUAGAGCAUUUUUUUAUCUGGAGUAGACCAGAACGAUGAACAACUGGUAGAAGUGUUUGAGCGAGACGGUUUUUUAUGCAGUUGAAGUAGCUAUUGUUGAACCAAAAU
rnacentral:lncRNA from 1 species